UACGUAGGGUGCGAGCGUUAAUCGGAAUUACUGGGCGUAAAGCGUGCGCAGGCGGUCUGUUAAGACAGAUGUGAAAUCCCCGGGCUUAACCUGGGAACUGCAUUUGUGACUGGCAGGCUAGAGUAUGGCAGAGGGGGGUAGAAUUCCACGUGUAGCAGUGAAAUGCGUAGAGAUGUGGAGGAAUACCGAUGGCGAAGGCAGCCCCCUGGGCCAAUACUGACGCUGAGGCGCGAAAGCUAGGGGAGCAAACGGG
rnacentral:rRNA from 1 species